rnacentral:rRNA from 1 species
CCUACGGGCGGCAGCAGUGAGGAAUAUUGGUCAAUGGGCGCAAGCCUGAACCAGCCAAGUCGCGUGAGGGAUGACGGUCCUAUGGAUUGUAAACCUCUUUUGUCGGGGAGCAAGGCCCGCCACGUGUGGCGGGAAGGAGAGUACCCGAAGAAAAAGCAUCGGCUAACUCCGUGCCAGCAGCCGCGGUAAUACGGAGGAUGCGAGCGUUAUCCGGAUUUAUUGAGUUAAAGGGGUGCGUAGGCGGUAGGUUAAGUCAGCGGUAAAAUGUCGGUGCUCAACACCGACCUGCCGUUGAAACUGGUCUUCUUGAGUGAGCGAGAAGUAUGCGGAAUGCGUGGUGUAGCGGUGAAAUGCAUAGAUAUCACGCAGAACUCCGAUUGCGAAGGCAGCAUACCGGCGCUCAACUGACGCUGAGGCACGAAAGCGUGGGGAUCGAACAGGAUUAGAUACCCCAGUAGUC